CGCAAACUAAAGUUUCUGCCUCAUUGUUUCUGCAUACAGAAUUUAAGGACACACACACUCCCUGACACCAACCAGGCCAGGGGGGCAACAUGAAGCUCAAUGUCUAUGAAGAUUCUCAGUCAUCCAGGUCAUAGUUAUCCAACGAAGGUUAAAAUCAAGGGCAACUGGACUUGGUUGAAGAUACUGGAAGACGUUUCGUCCCUCAUCCAAAGGACUUCUUCAGUAGCUCAAUGUGGGCGCCAUCUUGGCUAAUCCAAAAAGGUGGAGCUGAGUGGUGGAGAAGGCUACCUGCUGGACUGACAACACACUGAUGCCUGUCUACUAAUCAAUUAAUUGCAAGCAUAGGAAGACGCAGCUCAUGUCGGUGAUGACGACAUGACAUCAACCUGCACAGCUGAGACACCUUAACACUGGAGAAAGAGGAUGAAGAACACCUGACACCUGCAGUUGCAACAGGAAAGCAGCACCUAACAUGUAUUCUGUCAAGAAAGCAGCCAUGGAGGAGGAACAAACGAGGGGCGGAAAAUCAUGACAAGAGUCAAAUCUAGUUACCUUUGUAGUGGAGGCAGGGGGAAAGCACUGUCAUGCAAGGAGAUAGAGGACGACAGAAAAAAAAUAUCAGGCUGGUAUGAUUGCAUCAGGGCCCCUCACAGAAAUACCUACUUCCAUGCACUGCUAUCUCUCUGUCAUAGUGAGGUGUCAACAUGGAUUCAAUCAAAACCCGGAUAUGUGUUGAAUAUGAAUGAAUAUGUUUUUUAAAGAGAA